GAUUUCUGGGCUCAAGAAUUUGGCCGGCCACGGUUUCGUGUGUUAGUGCUUUGUUCUGUGUCCAUCCUUCCAAUCGCUAUUGGCUCUUCUUCAUUGAUUGGUCAGUAGUAUUGGAUCUUUUACUUUGAAAAAAUUAGAGUGUUUCAAGCAGGCUUUAUGCUAUGAAUACAUUAGCAUGGAAUAAUAAUUUAGGACUUCGGUUCUAUUUUGUUGGUUUCUAGGACUGAAGUAAUGAUUGAUAGGGAUAGUUGGGGGUGCUAGUAUUCAGCGGCCAGAGGUGAAAUUCUCGGAUUCGCUGAAGACUAACUUAUGCGAAAGCAUU
rnacentral:rRNA from 1 species